rnacentral:rRNA from 1 species
AACGAACGCUGGCGGCGCGUCUUAAGCAUGCAAGUCGAACGGCAAGAGAGGAGCUUGCUUCUCUCCUAGAGUGGCGGACUGGUGAGGAACACGUGGGUAAUCUACCCUUAAGAUGGGGAUAGCUGCUAGAAAUAGCAGGUAAUACCGAAUACACUCGGCAUAUCACAAGAGGUGUUGAGGAAAGGAAGCUACGGCUUCGCUUGAGGAUGAGUUUGCGUCCCAUUAGCUAGUUGGUGAGGUAAAGGCCCACCAAGGCGACGAUGGGUAUCCGGCCUGAGAGGGUGAACGGACACAUUGGGACUGAGAUACGGCCCAAACUCCUACGGGAGGCAGCAGCUAAGAAUAUUCCGCAAUGGACGGAAGUCUGACGGAGCGACGCCGCGUGGAUGAAGAAGGCUGAAAAGUUGUAAAAUCCUUUUGUUGAUGAAGAAUAAGGGUGAGAGGGAAUGCUCAUCUGGUGACGGUAAUCGACGAAUAAGCCCCGGCUAAUUACGUG